UAUGUAUUUUUUUUUCUGUAUCUAUUCUACUUUUCCUUUUUGGCUAAGUUUUAAUGUUAAUUAACAGAUUGGUAUCUAAUUUGUAAAAUAAUUUUACUCUGCUCAUAUUUUGCAAAGACAGCCCUGGAGAUUUUGCCGGUUGCAGUGUGGUGCUAACAGGGUGCAGGGAAAGGGUGCCCCAUCUUCUUCCACAGGACCCUCUUCAGUUCUUGGCACAUCAUCUACCAGGAGUACAUGUCAGUGCCCGAAGAAGAGUACAUCUUGAUGUCUACAGAGGAUCCUGCAAGAACACCUUUGUCCCAUAGUAACGGCUGAGUGCUUGACAAAGCUUAACAGCAGUAGCUUCCCCUUUUUUGUCAACCAGAUGAAAAUUACAUAAGGAAAAGUAGUCACUAUUUUGACUUGUGAUAUCUUUUGAAUGCAUUAGAAUUUUAGUGAAAUUCCAACAAUGUCAAUGUGAGCAUUUCAUAAUGAUUUUAUCUACAUUAUAUACUAUUUUUUUAUGGGGGGGAGGAGUGACUGAGUAGCUUUAAAACAUAUACUAUAUAACAUGCUGUUACAGGUAAACCAUUUCCUAUUUCUACUGCUAGUUAGGUUUAUUCCUCAAAAAAAGUUUUCCCCUCCCCCUUCCAAUUCCAAUGACAGCCUGGACUGGCAUUCGGGCAAAAACCUGUGAGACACUAUAGUCAUGGGCCAAGGCUGACAGAGGAGAUCAAAGGAUCUCCCCUGUUGGCCCAUGCUGUGAGACGUCACAGUUCUUUGGUGAGGUAAAAUAUCUCCCCAAUUCUUUCAGGACACCUUACUGUAGGAGAGUGGAGGAAGAUCUGGAAGAAUAUAUACACUCUCUGGAUCUCCUACGCACACACUAAUUCCCCUGUACACAAAACACACACCUCAUAUCUUAACACACACUAUACACCCCCUUCACACAAUACAUCAGCUCACUCUACACACACACAAUUCCACAAGCAGCCUCUAAAUACAUGCACAAUACUCUUUUAGUGCCCUUUUGUCCACUGGUAUCUCACUUAUGGAGAAACAAGAGACAAGCUGCAAGUAAACUCAGUCGUUAUACAAACGUGUCAUUAAAUUCACCUGUAUUGAGCAGAACAAACACAGGGCAUUUUCCCCUUUUUGCAAGAGCUUUUCAGCAGAGCUUGGAACAUGGGCUGUCCUAGUAGAGUAUUAAAUCGACGUGCUCACAAGUGUGUGUCACUAUAUUACACUAAAGUAAUGUUUCUGGAAAGGAUUUAGCAGUUGUGAUGAUGUUUUAUUAUAAAAACUGUUUACUAAACCGUUUUGAUAUAAUGUUAUUGUUUUUUCAGUAUUCUUUUCAUUAUACUGUGCAUAUCUUAAUGCUAAUACUACUCCCUUGCCAUUUUCCCUAAUUUAUAUUUAUCUCGUCUUCCUUGUACCAGAUCACUGUAAGUAUCUGGGUGCCACCAUUUUGUUCUUCUCUUUCCAUAAUGUUUAGUUUGACCUUCUGUGAAAUUCUUCUGACUGAUGGAUUGUAAGUAACUUUCCUUGACAACUAAAAAUCAACCUUGCUUAUGUUCUGCACAUUGUCAAAGAUCAUACUCCAAAGAAAUGAUGAAUUUUACAAAGUAGGAUUCAUUUAAAAAAAAAUGUCAAUCUACUAAAUUAAUCAUUUCAGAAAUUAUGGAAAAUGUUAUUCUGUUGAACAUGUUGCCACAUUAGAAUGGUGAAUUAGGCAAAAAGAAUUCAAAAAAAUAGGAAUAAGUGAUUUCAGAAAAGAGCCAGAGUUUAAAAACAGUACAUCAUCUUUUUUUUUCUUGACUACAUUUUCCCAUUGGUACCAGAGAGUAGUUAGUUUUGUGUGCAUGAGUGAUGGUUGCCUUAUUGCAAGCUCGUAUUGCUUGUUCUCACAAAUAAAAGCAAAAAUGUCUGACCUGGUAGGUAUUUGUGGUGUUUUCCAAUAACGUGGUAAUGUUGAGGUAGCUGAGAUCCGUAUAUGGGAAAUAAUGAUCGUAUCUACUUUAUCUAGAAAAGUGGAAAGGAGUUUAAACAAACCAAAUUUUGGAGAGAGAGAAUUGAUAGUGGGUGCAACUGCUUGAAUUAGGGAUAAAAUAAUGUCCCAAAAUGUUUUUAUUCUAUUUGCAAAAUUAUCGAUUAGAUUUGGUUUAAUGCUAAUAUGUUUAACCCUUUGAUGUUAUUUUACAACAUAUGUUAAGUCUCUACUACUACAUAGUAUUGCUGGAUGUUUGCUCUAGAGCAUACAACCUAUUUAUAUAUCACCAAGUAAAUCUUUAAGGGUUAUAACUCCCUCUCAUCUCAUCUCCCCUCCCCCUUCUCUUUUUCUUUAUCCCUAAACUAUAGAAUCACAUGAGAUAUGUUUCUCAUUUUUUUCUUUUCAAUCCAAAAAGUUAACUGUUAACUACACAAGGAGUAAACUAUAUAAUGAAGUAAUUGUACUGUUG